UGUAGAUUCCCACGUUCCCUUCUUUCAUCCAAUACCUUUUGUUAUACAGAAAAUGUGCAAAGUAAAAAAUUGUCUUGUUUUACUUUGUGUAGGGUUUAUUUUUGAUUCAGUAGUGCCCCAAAAUUAGAAGAGCUGAAUGUGCUCUAUCAAGCAGAUCUCCAACAUCGUUGCCAAAACUGCCUUUAGAGUUUGGGCCUUUAUAACUUUCCAGCAUUUCUUCCUCAACGGGAGGAGGAAAUUUGCAGCACAUGAUGCAGAUCCAGUAUAUUUCCCUCAGGGAAAGGUGCUGGGGUGGUGAGAGCUUGUGUGGGGAUGGCGGAGGGCUGUCCGCCAUCACGGGGCUGAGGCCUGUCCUGACCGCCAUUUUAGGCUGCAGAUGGGGGGGGUCAGGCCACCGUCUCGCUGCUUGGCCCACUGCUAUCAGGAAGCAUGGCAAGAGGAGAACUUUGCUGCUAACAAAGAGCAGUAAACAGAAGUGAGGGCUCCAGCCAUGCUUCCCCCCUCCCUGCCCGAUGUGGUGGGUAGGAAUGGUGACACACCUUUUUUUUGUCCCCGUUAUAACGGAAAUAGGCUAACAGAGGCCUGAUGGAGUGAUACUGGUUGGAGGAGACUUGCAGCUGAAGCUGUCCCCUAGGAGGCUCUCAUCCAAGCCUCCAUCUUCUCUUCAGCCUCAUAGCCCAUGCAGCUCACCCAGGGAGAAGACAAUAACCUAGCCAUGCUUUGGAGAGGGAAGAAAGAAAACCAAACUGUUUUUAUCCUACCAUCAGCUCAUUUUACCUUUCCUGCCAUGCUCCCCCAGGCCUGAGCCUUCACAGAGGCAGGGGCUGUGCUACUAGAGCAGUGGGAUGGCAGCAGGGAGAAGGGAGCUGGAUGAUGGCUGGCGGUGGCUGCCUCCUUCACUCUCCUCCAGCAUCAGGUUCUGCCGCUCUGGUGCUGCGGUUCAACAGGGUGGGGUGGGGAGGGAAGGAGGAAGGAGUGGGGGGAGCUGAAAAAAAGAGAAGAAAAAAAAAAGAGAGAGAGAAAAGGCAGUCAUUUGGGGCCUGGGCAUGGUGGUGGUUUCACCGCUUCCGCUGCCUGAUCCACCUUUUCAGACACGCAUGAGGAGAUUUCUGAGAAAUGGCCCUGGGCCGGCCCCAAGCACUUCAGCAUAACUGUGCACACACGUGUGUGUGUGAGCACGCAGCCCUGCACACAUGCUUGCACGCUGGAAUCCUUCCCACGAGGCCGGGCUGCUCCCAGCACACACUCUCAUUGCACACCUACUUCCCUCCUUCCACAAAAGAGGUCUCUUUCAUUUCCCACGAGAGGAGGAGGUGGAAGAGAGGAAACUAGAAGGCUGCAAAUUGCUCAGCCUCAUAUCUCACCUCCUCUCCAUCAGGCUACAAGUAGGCAAGGCUGGACAAAUGUGCAUUUUACCUUGAGACAACUUUUCUGUCGCUUCGUAGAGUGAUUUUUUUUUGUUGUUUUGUUUGUUUGGUUUUUGUUUUUUGGGGGUUUUGUUGUUGUUGUUGUUGUUCUUUUCAGUGCUUUGCCUCUCAGAGAAACCUUAACACUGUUCUAACUCUACAGGGCUAAGCUGCUGUUUGGUUAUGAAGAGUGUGCCUUGUGCUGUGCUUGUAGCAUUUUCUUUCCCUAAGUUAUCCCCUCCUUGCUGCCAGCCAGCCCCAGGAGGCUUGUCUUCAUGCAUAUUGCCAAUUACCUUGUGCUAGAGCAAGGCUUUUCCAAACCCUUAGCAAAUCUGGUAUUUCAAAGGGAUAUUGCUGUCAAGCGCCCAGCUUGUCACAGAACUGUGAGCUGAAGCCAGUAAAGCAGCAGGUGGUACCCAGGUGUGUUAGGUUAAUCCUCAACUCUUUUAAGCCAGUUACUUUCUCUUGUGAGUAACUAGGACUAGCACAAGGGAGGCAGAGGGUGUAGCCUUCAUUGUUUCACGGUUGUUUAGUGCUUGUAGGCUCUCCCUUAUUUCUACAAGGUAGUUGGUAUUGCUUCUUUCAUGUCAUGCAUAAAGACAUUUAAGGCAGUGGCUAACGUCUUAUUCUUUGCAGAGCUGUGGCAAAGCAGCUUACAUCAGGUAGCCAGGGCUUCUGUGGCUGUGAGGUGGUGUUUCUGAGCCUGUUCAGAGCAUCCUGGUAUUGUGCUGUGGCUCACAUAGAGCAGAUGAUGUAGGAGGGAGUCUAGCUGGCACUCUUGUUUCUUUGCCUGAUACUGCAGUUAUAAAGAACUAGUAUCAAUCAGAAGCUCUGCCUGAAAGGCAAGUAGGCGUUGUCUCCAUUUUUAAUAGGGGAAAUCCUGUGCACAGAGAUUUCAGGACCUGGUGGCUGGAGUGCAGAACACAUGGAGAGAAAGCUCGCUUUUGCAGAACACUUCCCAAGGCAUCCAAGGACUCCUGCAAACCCACAAAGCUUGCCUCUAAACCACAGCUGCAACAAAAGAGGAAGACUCCACAGCAGAACUUGGAGCAUAUUAAACCUUUAAAAUAGGUCUCUUUUUGUGGUGGGGUGUAUUUGUAUAAAUACAUACAUAUGCGUACAUGAAGAGAAGAGCUGGGUUUGUUCAGCAUUGGAACUAAAAGUGAAAGCAGGCUGUAGGAACGCCAGCAAGGCAGUGAUGUCAGGCAGAGCUAUAGCAUUGACAGGGAUGGAUCACACAGUGGCAUGCAGCAAUGGCAUCACAAGGAGAAUGGCUGGUCUUCCCAGGCCCAAUAGACACUAAUGGAGCAGAAGUAAAGGAACAUGGCUGGUUUGUGAGCCACAAAGGUAAAUUCUGCAAGGGUGUAAAUGUGAGAGACAUUGGAAAGAGAGCUCCGAGAAAGAGGGUGCAGGUGAAAAGAUGCACAACUGGUGCAGAGAGCUUAGGCCAAAGAAGCACAGUCUUUGUGGGGUACUAAGGAAUAACACAGUGGGGGGGGAAAAAGUGAAAUGAGAUUUAAAAUGGGAGCAUCUGGUCCCAUGCUGGUCCCAUGUCAGUUCCUGCUGAUCCUCACGCAACAUAAUGUGGUUGCUGUUGAGUUCAGAGUUGUAUGGGCUCCCAUGAAGGCAGUGUGGUGCUCAAGGCUGGCUCUGGUGGGACUCCAUCUGAGGUGGCUGCAUUCCUGUGCAUUGAGUCUGGAGCUCACGGUUAACUCUUUAAAGGGUUCAGGACCCUUGCUGAGGAGGCAUGGGUCCCUUGUGGACAGCUUUGCUGGAGCUGGAAUGACACUGACCAAAGGAGUCUCACCACAGACAGAAAAUUAAAAGAGCCUGUGACUGAACAGUGUUGGUAAGAGAAUCUCCUUCACUGGACAAACCUGGUGUAUAUUUUGUGAACGUGCCUAUGGCAUGGUUUGCAGUCACAGCUGCAUUCUUUAGCUGCAGCAAUUGUCAGCUUUAUGCAUUCAUUCUUUAAUGCAUUGUUGCAAUGCUUUGUGAGGUGGUAAAUCCUACCUUAACAGAGUGAGCAGAGGCACUAUGCCACCUGGAUCAGAUGGCAUAGAGCUCAUUAUAGAUUUCUGGAAUCCAUAUUUCUGGAUAGAUUGCCUCCUGGAUCACUUUGGAAAGACAGAAGGAAAUGUACUGGAGAUCCCUGCUAGUAUUAUCUCAGUCCUUUUGAGUGCAAGGUCAGUAGAGGAAAAGUUGCUCCCUGCUAUGUACGGACUGCAGGCAGACAGGCUCUGCUGGGCAGGUCACAACCAUUGCUCCCUGGUCAGCCAGGCUAGGGGUGUGCCUGGAGCUCCCUAACCUCUUUUAGCCUGCACACCCGAUCCCAAGGAGUCAGGUCAGAGCUGCUGCAACCAUCAACAUGAAAGAACCAAAGGCUGGCUGAGUCCAAGGGUUACAGUAAGUAUUGUUUCCUUCCCUGAGAUUAUCUGCAUCUCACCUUCCAUUGGAGCAAAAUUCGCUUCCUGGUGUGAAAGUGGUGGAGAAAGAGAUUAAAGCGAGCAGAUAAUGCAGUGGGAAAGCAUUUCUUUGCAUCUUUCCUGGAUAGAAGCGCUGUCUCCGUUCCCAUCACUUGCAGGACCAGCUGUGGUUUCUGGCAAUGGCAGACACAGACAUUGCCCUCCAGGUUCCUUUCCCUUUCAUUACCCCUCUGGAGAAAAGGACUCUUGUUAAAAGCCAUGGAUGUAUCACUGGGAGCCAGCUCUAUUAUGCACCAGCCAGUGAAGCAAGAUAGGCAUACUCUCCCACAAUUUAGGGAUGCCCCUGCUGAUCUGUUACCAAUGGGAAUAUCUUUAGUCGGAUCAGAGGCUGCCCUUUUCCAUGUCCCAGUGGGACAACACCUGCCCACCAAAGGACAAAGAGGAAACCUGUUGCGAUGGGAAAAAAGACAGAGUUCUCCCCAGAGAGGCUGUUUAAUUAAGAGCAUCUUUCUGCUAGCCAGCUGGUUUGUUAGCAAAGCAUCUAACUAAGCUUCAUCUCUGUGCAAGAGAGAAAGUCUCUGUGAAGCAAAUGCCAUGAAUCCAGUUUUACUCUCUCCUAUAAACCAUAAGAAAUCUGGUGAAGUCAUUGUGGAAAAAAGCCUGUAGGAUAAACAGGCUCCAAAGGGUCAGAAGAAAGCUAUCUAUGGGCCAGGGGCUGCUCUGUGUCACACAGUCCAUUGGCCCUGUCCAGAGCUAGGGUGGAAGAGCUGAGGCAUGGCUGGAUGUGUUUGUGUACACUGGUUUUUGGAGUUUGGGGGAUUCUGGCAGAAGUGUAAAUGUGAGCAAAGCUUUAUAUCACUGGAUGCAGCACGUAACAAGAAGUUCACCUUCAGUUAGAAAGGAUAUUAAUAUGACCUUCCUUUUUUUUUUCCUUUAAAGUAAAAAAGGGGACAUUGUUUUGAGUUGUUAAACAGCUGCUGUGUUCCACCCCAGUAAUGGUUGCAAUUGAGUAGUGAAUAAUAUAACACUUAGAUAAACAACCGGUAAAAUAAUUUGGGAUCUUUCCUUAGGGGGCAAAGCAGGCAAGUUACUCUACAAAAAUAAAUCAUUAUUCGCUCUGCCUAGGAAAUGAAGUGUUCUCCCUUCCAUCACCAAGUGGCUGUCACGCAUCUCCUCCUUCCUUCUGUGCUGGAAGUGUUUGCAAUACUCUUACCACCUUCAGCUUCCGAGGAGUUUUCUAGUGACCAUCAGAGCAUGUGAAAGGAAGGCCAGCAGCUAACAGCAUAGGAGAUGGAGACAGCGUGGCUUCACAAUGGACUGGCUGUGUGCAGCACGGGGAGCACGCGGGCAGCACAGAGCAAUGACUAAUUCCUCUGAUGUGUCACUUUUGCCCUGCACGCAGCUGCAUGGAGGGGACAGGGAGGAGCCUCUAACCUGGAGAGAGGAGUGCUGUGCCCUUCCUCGAUGCCUAGCAGCACACACCACACGCCGAGCUUUGUUCCGACUUGCCCAGAAGUCUGCUGGGAUGAGCGAGUCAGCACUCGCAGGCAGCUGAUAGGGCAGGUUGUGUCUUUGAGAUGCCUGUUUCGCAGAGGGGAAACUGAGGCACGGAGUCGUGCACCUUUGCUCGUUAUCAGAAAGUGAGCGUGGGAGGAUCGCGGUGAGCCCUGGCGCCAGGAGGGCAGUGCUCUGUCUCCUGGGAUGCGUCGUCACCAGGAACGUGUUCCCUGUGCUGGAUCUGUGCUCAGCUGGAGAGCUGCAGUGUCACAGGAUGCCUGUGGGCACAGAGGUUACCUGAGUGAUGUGGGUCUGUCUGCUCCCUUCUCUUCUAACAGGUCAACUGUCAAAAUGGGGUACUUUUACUUGGGGCUACAAAAAGUGAGGGGGAAGGGGGAAAGAAAAAGAUUACAGAAAGAACUGAAUUACAGUAGGAGGUGGUAAAUGAAUGUAAAUUUUACAGUAAAAUCCUUUAGGAGUUUCCAGAGACACCCAAAAAUCCCUCCAGCAGUAUAACCUGCUACCAAAAUGCCACAGUGGGUAGGUGGGAGUGAAUGGAAGAUAAUCAUAAUCAAAACAGUCAACAUAAAUGUUCUUUUACUCUUGUGUCCCAAGCAAAGAAAUCUGCUGCAUCCUCUCUUGUGAUGGAGGGUGGGCACAAGGAGUCGAGCUCUAGAGGAAAACAAAGCAACUAAGGAAGACUUUGGUGAAGCACAGAAGUGUUUGGAAGAAACAAGUCCAUGCUCACACUCUACAUUGACAGGCUCAACUUCAAGUGAUUUAUGGAUGCCAUUGGCCCUCAUGAACCAGAGCCAGCUUUCCUGCAAGUAACUCCCUGCAGCUGAGGGUGCAGAACCAUAUGGGCGUGGGAGCAGGAUGUAGGCAGGCUGGUUUCCAAGUGGAGAUGUCGCACCACAAAAUCUCCUUCUGUGCCAUGCCAUUGUCAGUACUGCUUUGACCAUCUCAGUGGAGAAGUCAAGGAUGAAGUGCUCCACAGCGCCUGACUGUUUUCUUUUUCAGCCUGUAGGAAUCGGGUCUAUCCCAACACGGGGAUGGAGCACGGCCCAGUGCUGCCAGCAGAUAGCACAGACCCCAUGAGAUGCCUACAGAGAGGCAACAUCGAGGUGAAUCUUCAUCAAAGCCUGGGCUUGGGUGUGUGAUGUGCAACAAAAGCAAG